AGAGACCGGCGCACAGGUGCUGAAUGGCUGUCGUAAUAACAUGUGGUGAGAUGUUGGGUUAAGUCCCGCAACGAGCGCAACCCUUGUCCUUAGUUGCUACGCAAGAGCACUCUAAGGAGACUGCCGGUGACAAACCGGAGGAAGGUGGGGAUGACGUCAAGUCCUCAUGGCCCUUAUGGGUAGGGCUUCACACGUCAUACAAUGGUCGGAACAGAGGGUUGCCAACCCGCGAGGGGGAGCUAAUCCCAGAAAACCGAUCGUAGUCCGGAUUGCACUCUGCAACUCGAGUGCAUGAAGCUGGAAUCGCUAGUAAUCGCGGAUCAGCAUGCCGCGGUGAAUACGUUCCCGGGUCUUGUACACACCG
rnacentral:rRNA from 1 species